ensembl:lncRNA
AGAAGCUGUCCUGCUGCUGGAUUUUCCACACUUCAGCCCAUGCACUUUCCAUCUUCUUUUUCCCCUCUAUACAAGUGGAUUUCUCAUCCCUGCUCCAAGACUAAAGUGAUCCUCUGAGCCAGAGCCAUGUGCAAGAUCAGAAUGAAAGCUGAAGCCAGGAAACCUUCCUUGGGUUCAGGUUUCACGACAAGCCUGAAACUUGUUCCUGAGGGAGGUUUCCAUAUCUUUGGGGGUGGGGGAAGGCUUUCUGGAUUUUGAGUUGUUACAGGAUGCCCCAAAUAAGGGGGAAAAAAAGUUAACAAGCAGAAGAAAACACAGUUUUAAUAGAGAUGUUUGAUAUUUUUUGACUGGAAAAAAUUCCCUUUGAAAAACACAGCUGUUGGAAAUAAUUGUUGUCGCCCCCCCCCCCCCACAAUGUAGGGGAUUUUUUUUAACUAGCAUUUUGCAUUUUUUUAUAUACUUCUCAACGGAAACUCUUCUGCAGUAGAUAACUUUCUUUAAUCUCAGUUUUCAAGAAGAAAAGGCUCUCUCAGAAUCCCAGUUCAAAGAGAGCUCUACGAGCUGAAACAAAAUUUUUCAUUCUGCCUUGAAACAUCCAGCCAGAAGAAGUGUUUCAGAGAAGUACUUCCAUUCAGAAGUUCUGAACAGGAAAGAAAAUGGUUCCUGGCUAGCUCUGCUGACCUAGACACAGCUCUGUCCUCCUCUGUGUGGGCUCCUAGCCAUGGGGCUUUGAGGGGCAAGUUCCUGGGCAUGGCCCCUACCCAGGACAUCACCUCAAGCUCUCAUCAGUGCUCUCCCCAUUUCUGUAACAGAAUGCUGCCUGAAGAACAGCUGGAAAGCUCCAGGUCUCUCUGCAAGGCACAGAUAAUGAACUGCACUGCUGCAGAUGCCAGACGGGACAGUGGUGCAAGGUACAGACAAGUGCUGGAGACUCACAGAAAUGAAGCAACUCCCCUGCUCCUCACAAAAUGAUGUGGUGGUGCCAGUAGCUGCUGACACUUACUCUGCUACUGCUUCAGCUGCAGGAAAACUGGGCACAGGUCAGACUUGCUGCCAUCCAUCCUUGUAGCUGGAGUUGGAGAUUUUCGAGCCACAGGAUGCUCAGGGAUGUGAGGUGCCUCAGUGCUCCUUUUACUAGUUUAUCUCUAAGCUGUCUUCAAACCUCCUUGAAAGCUAACAUCAUCCAUGGGCAAUCAGGAUCUCAGAGCAGAGAGGGCUGCUACCGAGUCUUGAGCAACACAGGGAGGAAAGUCUGCCAGCACUCCUCCAACCUUCAGCAGCCACUCCAGACACAAGCCAAAGGCAGGAGAUGCAGCAGGUGUGGAAGUGUAACUGGACCACGAACUCUACGUUCUUAUUUUGGAGCUAGUGGAAUAGGACAGACCUACCAGUCCUGAGCUUCAAGCUGCUGGAAUCAAUACCUUGCUUGAAAGAUUUAACACUUAUUUCUACCAAGCCUGGAAUUGUCAGCUGAGAUUUUCUCUACAGGAUAUUAGCAGAAACCAAUUGAGUGAUUCAAGCUGCUACGAAUCCCUCCACUGGGAAGGUUCUAGAUAGUCUGGAUCAGGC